GAGUCAGCCUUCCUGUGAUGAUGGCAGUAAAUGUAGCUGGUUGGCCAGGCUCUACACACAGAUCCUCAGCGGGUACCUGGAUGGAGGGAGGAGCUGAGCAGGAGAUUAGAUCAGUUAGUAAUCACACAAAGGUAACACACAGGCGGCUGUAUCGCCUGAUCCAUGGAUGUCGAGGCAGGAACAGCCUCUUCAGUGCUACAUUCAGUUCUGGAGACAAAGUGAAAACCAUGUCUCUCCACAUUUGCUGAUUUUGAAUGUUUGUGAUAAACUGAGGACAAAGUGUUCCUUUAUGUGCUGAGAAAAUGAUCCUACUUCUUAAGAUAAAUAAACUAUUUAAAAAGCCUCUUGGAUCAGCUAGAAAAUGUAUCGCCACAAAGCUAAAAACAGGGCAGUUUUCAGACACCAUCAAAUGUUGACUUUUAGAGAUACAUGGUUCUCACAGGACAGCAACACUACAAACAUAAUGCUCUUACAGAAUAUGUAAAUUAGCACAAAUUUAAAUAUCUACAGCAGUAAACUGCAACAUACACAAUAAUGCAGCAGUAAUAUUCAUCCAGAAACAUCAUAUACUGCACAAUGAGUUUUUUUACUUUAAGUACUGUACAUUUUGCUGAUAAUACUUACAUACUUUUACUUAAGUAAGGUUUUGAAUGCUUUUACUUGUAGUGAAGUAUUUACACAGUGUGCUAUUAGUCAGGAUUUGAAUACUUCUUUCUUCACUGCUUACUGUUCAGGGUGUCCAGGAGGGAAGAGCAUCUUAGCAAUAGAGGUCGGACUGAAAUCCGUCUGUAGCCAUUUUUUCACAAAGGCAGUGGACCAGCCCUCUGAGUCUGCAUCUAUGAAAACCAAAAUGCCAUUCAGCAGGAAUUUAUGGAUCAGACACUUAAAAUAAGACAUGAGCGUAUGCCUACUCCAAAGGGAACACCUGCCCAGCACAUGACCAUCUUGUGUUCGUAGGAGUGAAGAGUUAGCUGGGCAUGCGUUGGCAAGAAGAGAAAGGGGAAUGUUGCAUGGUUAUUUGUUAUCGUGACAGUGAUGACUUACAUGGAACAGUCCAUGUGAGGAACUUCCUGCUUUAGGAAUAGUGGAGGGAAAAUGGAAAAAGAUGUAGGUUAUGGAAAAUGAAAGGGCAAACAUGGUGAACCGGUUUAAAAAAUCCAGAAAGAAAAUGCAUAUAUCUAAGGGAAAUAACAUUAUAGCCUGUAUAAAGAAUAUUGUACGUCAAACUUACAAUUGGUUUUCAGCAACAUCUAAUAUUUCUAUUGAAUUUGGUUGUAUCAUAUUCUACUGUAUUAUACUACUUUUAUUUCUGACCCUAUGUGAUAGAAAUAGAGACACUGUUGAAAAAUCACGACGUAAUAUAUGACUAAUAGCGGAUACUUGCUAUCUCUGUAGUCAAAUUACUGCUGUUAGUUUCUGGCACCUCAAGGUUCGUCUGACUUUUGGAUCCUAAUG